GUAUCAGCUGGCACCUCAAAGUUUGAAUUCGGUUCCCGGGACUGAGGGGCCAGAGAUUUAAUUCAAUCUCUAUUUAAAGAGGCACUGAUCCCAGAACAGCAAGGGAUUCUUCAAGGAGCUUGUUGUUUAAUAAGGAGAAGGAGGCAGAACACCAUGGAGACUUCUCCUGAAAUAGGUGCUGCCACAGAAUGCAGGGGAAGUGCUCCUGGAGACAGAGCAGACAGCACUCCAUGACUCUGAUGAAGGGAGAGGUGUAGGCGCCACAACAAGGUGGUGUUUGGUGUGGACCCUGAGGGAGGGAGAGAAGUCCACAGAUGGGAGCAGGGUGAGGCGGAGAGUAUCAUGACUAAAAGCUCAGAGGGGGGAAACCUGGAGGUGGUCGGAGCACAGCAAGUCUGAGGUUGGGCUGAAGAGCAGACAAAGUGAGGACGUUAUCCUCAGGCAUCUCCAGGCUCAAUUACACGUUUCCUUGGUCCAGUAUUAAAAUCAGAUUUUCUUUCCUGAGCACACACAAAUGGACCUGGCAAAGCGAAGACAUAGAUGUGCUGUGUGAUGGGGGAAGCCACUCAGGAUUAAAAUACUGCCAUAUCUCAGCCUCUCCAAGGUGCAGCCACCAUGAUCUCAGCAGACUGAUGAUGGAAGAAAAGGAAACA